rnacentral:lncRNA from 1 species
CAGUGUUAACCCAACAAAGAAGAGAACAAAAGAGUUAGUUUUGUAGAGUAAUGAGAGAGUGAUAAGGCACAAACACAACACAACACAUGGAAAAAGCAGAAAAAGAGUUAGAGAGAAGGAGCAAGUUUCUAAACAGUUUGAUACAGAACAAGAAAAAAUCCAUAAAACAACCACAACAACAAGAACAAGAGAAGAAGGUCAGUCACACACUACUUUCUUUGAAAUUUUUAAUUUUUGUUUAUAAAAUCUGUUUCUGGGUUGUGAUUUUUGUUGAAUCCAUGAAUGUUGAAAAUUGUUAUGUCUUGGUUGGAACUUGGAACUGAACCAAACACACAUAUUAGCUCAUAUUUUAUGAGCUAAUAUGUGUGUUUAAUAUUGAGUUUGUCUAAUAUCCUUUUUAUUCUGCUAUUCUCCUUAUUCUUCAAAAUAUUUUGAUUUUAAUUUCACUUUUUUCUUAUGGUUAUUUGAUAUGCAUGAUUUAGG